AAAGGAUUAAAUAAGAGCAUGCAUAUAAAAGACAUAGUUCAGUAGGGUUGACCCUGGGUUUAAGUUAUUCCCCUUUCCAUUAACCCCAAACUCCCCUUUGUCUGAGUCUCAGGAUGAAAUAAAAAUCAAAACCCAGGUCUGGGGAUGUAGCUCAGUUGGUAGAGUACUUGCUUUGAAUGCACAAGGCCCUAGGUUCAAUCCCUAGCACCACCAAAAAAAAAAAAAAAUCCAUUAUGUCAGUAAUUAGUUUAAAGUCACAAAAGUUAAACAUUUGCCUCUCUGUCCCAAGAGCUAACCAAAAGCCAAAGUAAACAAGAUUUAGGAAGAAAUGUUAAAAAAAACAGCAAUGGCAUUGAUCUCUUUUCAGAAUGUUCAUUUGACUGAGAUGAGAAUAACUUAGGUUUGGAUAGUAUUUUUUUAAUAAUUUUCAUUGAUGAAAGAAUAUUGAAUUAGAAUAAAUGUUAAACCUGGGUUUUUAUUUGUCUGCAUUUCAAAAAGUUGACCCUUUAUUAAAUUCAAUUCCAUGAGAGUGUCUAGUGCUUCUUCCUUGUUCCAGGAAUAAUGCUAGGUAGUAAAGAUUCAGAAAUAAGAUAUCCUCCUUGCUCUCCAUCAGCCAAAGGCCUUGAGGUGUUGAGAUAAGGGUAUAAGUAGAGCAAAGGCCAUUCUGAGUGAAGGUUAUUCUAAUUGAGUCCACAGGCUCUGUGGGAGGAAAAGGGCAGAGACUCUGCAAGGCCAGAGAAUCCUUCCCAGAGGAGAAAAAGGUAAUAUCUGUAUUUCAAUUGCCUGGCCAGUGUGGACAGGGAAGAAAAGAAGGAACUACUUGUCUUAUUCAAGUGGCUGGAGGGAAAUGGUGUUUUGGCUGAAACUCACAGUUAGUGUAUUUGUUCAUUUUGAGCUUAUCUUGGUGCAUUCAGGCUGCUAUAACAAAAUGCCAAGCUGGGUGGCUUACAAACAACAGAAAUUUAUUUGUCACAGUCCUGGAGGCUCUAAGUCCAUGAUCAGGGUGCCAGCUCCAUCUAAGUCUGGAAAGGGGCCCCUUCCAGGUUGCAGAUUUCUGCUUCUCAGUGUAACUUCACAUGGAGGAUGGGAUAAGCCCACUCUCUGGGGUCUCUUUUAAAAGGGCACUAAUCCCAAUGAUGGGCUUUCCACACAAGGAGACCAAAUCAUCUCUCAAAGGCCUUAUCUCUUAAUAUUAUCACCUUGGGAAUUAGGAUUAUAUCAUAUCAAUGUGAGGGAGGAGGACCCAAAUUUUCUAUCUACAGCAAAGCUGCUAGUAUUGACAAUGAUAGCUACCAUUUAUUGAAUACUUAGCAUAUGUUAGGCAUUUUACAUACCUCGAUUCAUUUUUGGUUCUUCUAAAAAUUAUUGGAAAUUAUUAUUGCAAAUUUACAGAUACAAAAACUAGGACUCUGAGAGAUUAAGUAACUUUUAGCCACACUAGUGGAGGCAAUACCACCAUCCCCAACUCUUGGCCUGCUGCCGUUGACUCUAUCCAACUUCUGGGAAUCCAUUUUCUACUACACAAAAUCACACAGGGCCCAAAGAGAAUUUCUAAACUGAGCAAACCUGACCUGAAUUCCUUGAUAAAACAGUAACUACUCUAGAGGCCAGAUUCAUCCAGCUUUUAUUCACAACUCAAUAUUAUAUUUUAACAGAAAUAUACAUACUAUCCCAACCCAACUGACUUCCUGUAUUGUCUCAAAAACACUCCUACCAAUUAUUAUUAAAGCUACAAGGUACAAUACAAGAAAAUGUUGUUGGAUUUUGUGCCAUCCUUAGCCUAAUAUGUGAAACUCCUAGCACAAAGCCCAACGCAGAGUGGGUAAUGUUGGUUCCAAAUGUUGGUUCCUUUCUUCUUUUCUCUUCUGGUGCAAGCUAUAGAAGUGAAAUAGUGAUGGAAAGUAGGCUGUCCAAAGACAAGGGGAUAGAAAAUUAUAGGCUUCCACACACAAGCAUGGCCUAGGUACAGUUCCCCCUUUAAAACACUUUUUAAAAAUGUGUACUUGUUAGAUAUACACGACAAUAGAGUGUAUUUUUGACAUAUCAUACAUACAUGGAGUAUUGGAAAUUAUGUAAUGACCAAUGUCCACCUAAGAAAAGGACAGAGGGAAAUUUUAUACAACGCACACAUAUGAAAUGGCAAUGUGAAAAUAACAAAAAUGGAGCAGAGAGAGAUAGGAAGACACUGGCCUUUACAAUUAGAGUGACACAGCCACAAGCCAAGAGCUGACAGUAGCUUGGAAAGGUAUAGGACAGAUCUCCCCCAGAGCCUCUGGGGGGUUGGGGGGGCGCACUUCCCUGCCGACCCCUGGAUUUCAACCCAGAGAUUUUGAUUUGUGGCCUCCAGAACUAGGAAAAAAUACAAGGUUGUUUUAAGUCACCAAGUUUGUGGUGAUUUGCUACAGCAACCAUAGAAAACUAAUACAGAUACCUUAUAAGGCAUUAACUGGCCUUUCCACUUAGCAAGAUUCAUCAGCUAACUGUGGUCCAGAGUGAGUGAGAUGUGCCAUCCUAAUGAGUAUUAAUCAAACCAUGCAGUUUCAAAGGUAUAAAAAAUGAUAUGCCGAUAAACUGGUUAUCUGUGGAGCGGGGACCUAUGAUUUUUAGCAGAUGCCAGUUUCUGUGAUAUAAAUGUCCCUAGGAUGGCCGGAUUUCAAUUACCAUUUUACCCAUUUCCUUACCAUUUAACAAAGGCUCUCACAAUCCGACAGGACCCAGCUCCAGCCCAUUCCUGCAGAGGUGCUUUAAAUCAUGAGUAAUAUUGCUCUAAAACUUUAUUAAACAUAAUUUAAUUUCUCCUUGAUAAUUCUGAAGGGUACUUCAUGGUAUUGUAGUUCCUGAGAGUAGACACAGGGAACAUUAAUUACUGCUGCACUGCGCACGUGCAGGCUUGCUAAUCGACAACAUGGUGGGGACAGUUUGGGGCACUGAAGAGGGGGAAGAAAGAGGCAGAAACAGAAUGUCCUAUCAGCUGUCAGCUGCAGGCUUUUCUUCCUUAGGGAGCUCUGGAGGAAUUCAGCAGAAGCCAUCCCUUCUUUAUGUAAAUUUAUUAUAAAUGGUAAUAGCAGUGACAGAAAUUUUAAUCAUUUUCUUCCAUUGGAGUAGGGCUUUAUAAUUUUCAAAGUGAAUUGGACUUUCACCUUAAGAAAAAGAGAAUGGCAGCUUUAUCUCAACCAGAAACAAAUGGAGUGUGUAAAAUUUAGUCUUGCUCUUCAGGUCUUGUGCUAUUGACUUCUGGAU
rnacentral:lncRNA from 1 species